AGUUAAAUUUUUCUAUCAUCCGAUCUAAUACUUGCCUUUCUGUUUGCAGGUUCCUGCUACCUCAGCUCCAAGCCCUAUAACUUCUUCUACUCCAAGUUCCUCUACUAUGUUAGGCUAGAGAGCCCUUCUCUUGGCUGAUAUAUAGUUGAUCCUCUCCAAGAUCUUGAUUUCUCAUUUCUGGCUCAGUUUUCUAGUAGCUCCAGCGCUUACCUUUAGCUACACCAUUUGAG
rnacentral:misc_RNA from 1 species